GCACCCAUCGAGUCACGACCGUAUAUAGUUCGAUUGAUUAAUAUAUAGAAUGAAUCAUAAACGACCCGUCAUCACUAUUUGAUCAGUCCUUGGAUCAACAAGACCUAUAUAAAAAAGAAUCCUGCUACAAAAGCAAUAAUCACGGCAACUGGUAUGGCAUCACGAAAUUUAUCAGAUUUUGAUUUAACUGUUCGUGGAGCGACCGAUAUUACCUCAGAGCAUAUUCAAGACAAAAGGGCCACUUUGUUCAACGGAAGUUCUUGUGAAUCUUUCUGCAGUGGUGAUAAAAGUUUUACUGUAACAAAUAUUAAUCGAGACGAUGUUUUGAAUUGCAACGAAGUACAUAAUACCGAUAGUAACUUCGCCUCCCAGAUGAUGCUAACAAUGAAGUUGAAAAUUCUAUAGAAAGUUUACCUCAACUUGAAGAAGAGGAUGUCGGAGAGUUUUUAGACGAAACGAUUUUUUUUGACGGCAAUGAUUGCAUUCAGUUUGCAGAAAGUUUGUCUGUAAUGGAUGUUUUACUAAUGGUUCUUAAUUAUAACAUAGAACAUAAACUCGCACAAAUUGCCUUAGAAGAUCUACUUUGUCUAUUGAACGUCUUUUCCAGGUUCAUAUAAUAUGAACAAAAGCUAUUUUUGUACUAACUGUUAAUAUGGGUGAGUUUGUAGACGAAUAAACUAUUACCAGAGUUAAAUGUCAUAUGGUCGGCGUGCGACCAGAUUAAACCAAGCCCCAAUUUUUUAAAAAUUGAGUUAUUAGUACCAGUGGAUAAUGAUCUUAUAACAAAAUUA